rnacentral:rRNA from 1 species
AGUGAACGCUGGCGGUAGGCCUAACACAUGCAAGUCGAACGGCAGCACAGUAAGAGCUUGCUCUUACGGGUGGCGAGUGGCGGACGGGUGAGGAAUACAUCGGAAUCUACUUUUUCGUGGGGGAUAACGUAGGGAAACUUACGCUAAUACCGCAUACGACCUACGGGUGAAAGCAGGGGAUCUUCGGACCUUGCGCGAGUGAAUGAGCCGAUGUCGGAUUAGCUAGUUGGCUGGGUAAAGGCCCACCAAGGCGACGAUCCGUAGCUGGUCUGAGAGGAUGAUCAGCCACACUGGAACUGAGACACGGUCCAGACUCCUACGGGAGGCAGCAGUGGGGAAUAUUGGACAAUGGGCGCAAGCCUGAUCCAGCCAUACCGCGUGGGUGAAGAAGGCCUUCGGGUUGUAAAGCCCUUUUGUUGGGAAAGAAAAGCAGCAGGUUAAUACCCCGCUGUUCUGACGGUACCCAAAGAAUAAGCACCGGCUAACUUCGUG